GGUAGUGUGGCUCAGUGGUAGAGCACUUGCCUAGCUUAUGCAAGGCCCUGGGUUCCAUCCCCAGCAUCACAG
rnacentral:tRNA from 1 species